CUUUGGGUGACCUCGAUUUAUGCAUCAACAACUAUCAAAGUAGUUGCAAAACUUCUGUUUUUACAAAAAUAUACGUAAAUAUAGCAUAAAAUAUAAAAUAAAUAGCAUAAAGACGUUAAAACAACUAUUUACGUAACAUUAAUUAUAAACUUUACUAUAUACAAUGCAAACCUAGUAAAGUCAAAUAUAAAGAAAAGACGAAAGAAAGGAAAGGCAACCUGGGAGUACAGCAUUCUCGUAAAAGUACCUAGAUCCCAGAUCUGUGAGACCCGGUAAAAAUAUCUUGAAUAUCCUUCUGAUGUCCUUG
rnacentral:misc_RNA from 1 species